UGUGUAGAGAGGAUGCUGGAGCCCGAAGGGGGUAGAUUGUGAAAUCCCACAUCGGUUGGAGAGCGAAUCGAAUGUUGUUUACAAAGUUGCAGGAAAUGAGGAUUCGAAUGUCUACUUCUACGACUACGAGUUCUAUGAUUCGACACGAGCUUAACAUACUUGUGCGAACUAGCUACAGAUUCUCUCUAAGGUAAAACCAUUAGUUGGCAGUUUGUUGUCGAUUGACCGGCACGUAUGUGCCUCUGCAGGGCCACUGGUUUCCGGUCACCGGGGUUGCCUGCAACCAUGGGGAGAAUCUGUUGGCUUCCUUGGAUGUUUAUGGGAGGGUAAUUGUAUGAGAUCAAAGAUGAGCUAGAAUUUAGAAUGAUAUAUAUGUGGGAAUAGAUUUCUGAAUAGCUCUGUUUGCUUCCUCUUAUCAACUUCAGAUCAUCAUUCAGUAUGAAAAUCGAUUGACAAAGAGAAAACAAGAGUUUCUUAUAUAUACUUCCAUCCAUUUUCUACCAGUAGUUGAUGAUAUGAAAGUUCAUGAUGAGUUCAACUAUGAGACAAACUCAGGCAAAGUUUUUAUUCAUAUGUACCAAGUGAUAUAGGUUAUCAUUAACAAGCAGAAGAAAAUGAAAACUCCUAACAAAAUCUAAACCAGCCUACUGUAUCUUCCAAGGACAAAAAAGCUUGAAAUAUGUUGAUAUGAUAUGCUUUCCUAGAAACUAAGUAAAAUAAAGAUUAAGUAUUUGCAUCCAAUUCUACUCUACCUUGUUUGAUAUGUACUCAAGAGCCAUAAAUCUAUCUAAUUUACGUGUUCUAUGUGGUUACCCGACGUUGACAGACAACUUCAGCAGAUAGUUUUUUGCUUAGAUUUGGACAUGGAUCGCCUCCGAAAAUGCUUGUUGGUACGGUUGCCAGGCAUCUCUGUCGACCAACACAUAGCUGGAAAAGACGGUAUAAAUUAGGAACUUAGUAUUGUAUUUUGAAGUGUUGAUCUUGUCGAUUACAGAUCAAUCAUCAAGACAAUAUUUGAAAAGGUUCCUUGCUGAAGAUUUCCACAAGCUCCACUUGGAGUUCCAAAGCUGACAAAUUUGAUAGCUGAAAUGAACUGCCUAGCUGCACAAUGCAGGGCGAUACUCGGAUGCCUCGGUACAAAUGCUUGUAAUUGAUCUCUUUACAAGAGUGAUCCCUGAAGGAUUCCCGCCCAUCUCCUCAAAAACCACAAUUAAAUUUCUUGAUGGCAUCAACCAAGAUCGAGGAACGUGGUACCUAAAUGAUUAACGUAUCAAAUAAAAUGCAGAAUUUAGUGUUCGUCCUA